rnacentral:rRNA from 1 species
AGUGAACGCUGGCGGUAGGCCUAACACAUGCAAGUCGAACGGCAGCACAGGAGAGCUUGCUCUCUGGGUGGCGAGUGGCGGACGGGUGAGGAAUACAUCGGAAUCUACUUUUUCGUGGGGGAUAACGUAGGGAAACUUACGCUAAUACCGCAUACGACCUACGGGUGAAAGCAGGGGAUCUUCAGACCUUGAGCGAUUGAAUGAGCCGAUGUCGGAUUGGAUAGUUGGCGGGGUAAAGGCCCACCAAGGCGACGAGCCGUAGCUGGUCUGAGAGGAUGAUCAGCCACACUGGAACUGAGACACGGUCCAGACUCCAACGGGAGGCAGCAGUGGGGAAUAUUGGACAAUGGGCGCAAGCCUGAUCCAGCCAUACCGCGUGAGUGAAGAAGGCCUUCGGGUUGUAAAGCCCUUUUGUUGGGAAAGAAAUCCAGCUGGUUAAUACCCGGUUGGGAUGACGGUACCCAAAGAAUAAGCACCGGCUAACUUCGUGCCAGCCGCCGCCGUAA